UGGGAAUCUUCCGCAAUGGGGCGAAAGCCUGACGGAGCAACGCCGCGUGAGUGAAGAAGGUCUUCGGAUCGUAAAGCUCUGUUGUCGGGGACGAAUGUACCUUUUGUGAAUAAUGAGAGGUAAUGACGGUACCUGACGAGGAAGCCACGGCUAACUACGUGCCAGCAGCCGCGGUAAUACGUAGGUGGCGAGCGUUGUCCGGAAUUAUUGGGCGUAAAGGGAGCGCAGGCGGGAAGGCAAGUCAGUCUUAAAAGUGCGGGGCUCAACCCCGUGAUGGGAUUGAAACUGUCUUUCUUGAGUGCAGGAGAGGAAAGCGGAAUUCCUAGUGUAGCGGUGAAAUGCGUAGAUAUUAGGAGGAACACCAGUGGCGAAGGCGGCUUUCUGGACUGUAACUGACGCUGAGGCUCGAAAGCGUGGGGAGCGAACAGGAUUAGAUA
rnacentral:rRNA from 1 species